rnacentral:rRNA from 1 species
CCAUGCCGCGUGUGUGAAGAAGGCCUUCGGGUUGUAAAGCACUUUCAGUAAGGAGGAAAGGUUAAGUGUUAAUAGCACUUAGCUGUGACGUUACUUACAGAAGAAGCACCGGCUAACUCCGUGCCAGCAGCCGCGGUAAUACGGAGGGGUGCGAGCGUUAAUCGGAAUUACUGGGCGUAAAGCGUACGCAGGCGGUUUGGUUAAGCGAGAUGUGAAAGACCCCGGGGCUCAACCUGGGAACUGCAUUUCGAACUGGCAAACUAGAGUGUGAUAGAGGGUGGUAGAAUUUCAGGUGUAGCGGUGAAAUGCGUAGAGAUCUGAAGGAAUACCGAUGGCGAAGGCAGCCACCUGGGUCAACACUGACGCUCAUGUACGAAAGCGUGGGGAGCAAACAGGAUUAGAUACCCUGGUAG